UCCACCAGUCUGCGAUAGCGCGACGUCAGUCUGCGGCGGCACGCCGCACUCGCACGCCCGCAGGCUGCAGACAGCAGGCAGCGCGCACGAUUCCGGCGGCCGGCACUGACCGACCGAUAUGCAAGCAGCAAGCUGCAACUGCAAGCAGGCAGCGCCAGCACUGCAGUCUGCAGGUCGGCACUCUGCGGCAAGAGGGAGAAAAGGAGGCCGGACAGGCGGAUCUUGGUACUCACGGCAAACCCAUGAAAUUUGGAUAGUCCGGGUGCGUCAUCCAGAGGGUCUAGGUUUCAAUAUAAUGCUGCCAUGAGGAAAUUGGAUUUACAUGUAGUGUGCACCUGGUAUUUGGCGCAAAAUUGUGCCAACACAAAUAAAAAAAUAAAGCAAUCAUUUCUGUUCCUCUGAGGUAGCUUGUCUGAAGCUAAGUACACCAGAUGGACAUGGGGUCCAAGUAUCAUAUAGUCCACUAGUUGUUUUCAGCAUGGUUUUAUAUAUCUGUGUGUGUGCUCGCGCGCGCUCUUUUUAAGAUCUGGGGUGAGCCUGGGGCUUUAUCUAUUGCCACAAAACAUGCAGUUCCUCGAUCGCUUUUCGAAAACCUGUUUUAUUUGCAGCGCUUGAAAGGAAAAAAAAAGGCAGCAUCAUGCAUUGCGUGAUCGAAUGUA